rnacentral:lncRNA from 1 species
UGGAAUGAUAAGCCUCCUCCAUUACCCUCUCUCGAAGAUUAUCCAAAUCUGGGACACAUAACCUGUCGUGGCACCGUAGCACACCAUCAUUGCUGCCGAGUGAAAAUGCUGAAAUUUUGUUACUUAAGAGCUGCCUCCUUCAAAUGUGCCAAUGCUGGAUCAAUACACUGCUUUUCUUUAACCUUUGCCACGAGCAACAAUUAUGCUGUAUUAUGCACCAUAAGUUCCUCCUCAUUCGGGGCCGAGAUACAAACCCCAAGGCUGGCCAAUUGAUGUACCUCCGGAGCAAGGAACCUCUAAU